rnacentral:rRNA from 1 species
AGAUUAAGUUAUUAAGGGCGCACGGUGGAUGCCUUGGCACUAGAAGCCGAUGAAGGACGUUACUAACGACGAUAUGCUUUGGGGAGCUGUAAGUAAGCUUUGAUCCAGAGAUUUCCGAAUGGGGAAACCCAGCAUGAGUUAUGUCAUGUUAUCGAUAUGUGAAUACAUAGCAUAUCAGAAGGCACACCCGGAGAACUGAAACAUCUUAGUACCCGGAGGAAGAGAAAGAAAAUUCGAUUCCCUUAGUAGCGGCGAGCGAAACGGGAAGAGCCCAAACCAACAAGCUUGCUUGUUGGGGUUGUAGGACACUCUAUACGGAGUUACAAAGGACGACAUUAGACGAAUCAUCUGGAAAGAUGAAUCAAAGAAGGUAAUAAUCCUGUAGUCGAAAAUGUUGUCUCUCUUGAGUGGAUCCUGAGUACGACGGAGCACGUGAAAUUCCGUCGGAAUCUGGGAGGACCAUCUCCUAAGGCUAAAUACUCUCUAGUGACCGAUAGUGAACCAGUACCGUGAGGGAAAGGUGAAAAGCACCCCGGAAGGGGAGUGAAAUAGAACCUGAAACCGUGUGCUUACAAGUAGUCAGAGCCCGUUAAUGGGUGAUGGCGUGCCUUUUGUAGAAUGAACCGGCGAGUUACGAUUUGAUGCAAGGUUAAGCAGUAAAUGUGGAGCCGUAGCGAAAGCGAGUCUGAAUAGGGCGUUUAGUAUUUGGUCGUAGACCCGAAACCAGGUGAUCUACCCUUGGUCAGGUUGAAGUUCAGGUAACACUGAAUGGAGGACCGAACCGACUUACGUUGAAAAGUGAGCGGAUGAACUGAGGGUAGCGGAGAAAUUCCAAUCGAACCUGGAGAUAGCUGGUUCUCUCCGAAAUAGCUUUAGGGCUAGCCUCAAGUGAUGAUUAUUGGAGGUAGAGCACUGUUUGGACGAGGGGCCCCUCUCGGGUUACCGAAUUCAGACAAACUCCGAAUGCCAAUUAAUUUAACUUGGGAGUCAGAACAUGGGUGAUAAGGUCCGUGUUCGAAAGGGAAACAGCCCAGACCACCAGCUAAGGUCCCAAAAUAUAUGUUAAGUGGAAAAGGAUGUGGCGUUGCCCAGACAACUAGGAUGUUGGCUUAGAAGCAGCCAUCAUUUAAAGAGUGCGUAAUAGCUCACUAGUCGAGUGACACUGCGCCGAAAAUGUACCGGGGCUAAACAUAUUACCGAAGCUGUGGAUUGUCCUUUGGACAAUGGUAGGAGAGCGUUCUAAGGGCGUUGAAGCAUGAUCGUAAGGACAUGUGGAGCGCUUAGAAGUGAGAAUGCCGGUGUGAGUAGCGAAAGACGGGUGAGAAUCCCGUCCACCGAUUGACUAAGGUUUCCAGAGGAAGGCUCGUCCGCUCUGGGUUAGUCGGGUCCUAAGCUGAGGCCGACAGGCGUAGGCGAUGGAUAACAGGUUGAUAUUCCUGUACCACCUAUAAUCGUUUUAAUCGAUGGGGGGACGCAGUAGGAUAGGCGAAGCGUGCGAUUGGAUUGCACGUCUAAGCAGUAAGGCUGAGUAUUAGGCAAAUCCGGUACUCAUUAAGGCUGAGCUGUGAUGGGGAGAAGACAUUGUGUCUUCGAGUCGUUGAUUUCACACUGCCGAGAAAAGCCUCUAGAUAGAAAAUAGGUGCCCGUACCGCAAACCGACACAGGUAGUCAAGAUGAGAAUUCUAAGGUGAGCGAGCGAACUCUCGUUAAGGAACUCGGCAAAAUGACCCCGUAACUUCGGGAGAAGGGGUGCUCUUUAGGGUUAACGCCCAGAAGAGCCGCAGUGAAUAGGCCCAAGCGACUGUUUAUCAAAAACACAGGUCUCUGCUAAACCGUAAGGUGAUGUAUAGGGGCUGACGCCUGCCCGGUGCUGGAAGGUUAAGAGGAGUGGUUAGCUUCUGCGAAGCUACGAAUCGAAGCCCCAGUAAACGGCGGCCGUAACUAUAACGGUCCUAAGGUAGCGAAAUUCCUUGUCGGGUAAGUUCCGACCCGCACGAAAGGCGUAACGAUUUGGGCACUGUCUCAACGAGAGACUCGGUGAAAUCAUAGUACCUGUGAAGAUGCAGGUUACCCGCGACAGGACGGAAAGACCCCGUGGAGCUUUACUGUAGCCUGAUAUUGAAAUUCGGCACAGCUUGUACAGGAUAGGUAGGAGCCUUUGAAACGUGAGCGCUAGCUUACGUGGAGGCGCUGGUGGGAUACUACCCUAGCUGUGUUGGCUUUCUAACCCGCACCACUUAUCGUGGUGGGAGACAGUGUCAGGCGGGCAGUUUGACUGGGGCGGUCGCCUCCUAAAAGGUAACGGAGGCGCUCAAAGGUUCCCUCAGAAUGGUUGGAAAUCAUUCAUAGAGUGUAAAGGCAUAAGGGAGCUUGACUGCGAGACCUACAAGUCGAGCAGGGUCGAAAGACGGACUUAGUGAUCCGGUGGUUCCGCAUGGAAGGGCCAUCGCUCAACGGAUAAAAGCUACCCCGGGGAUAACAGGCUUAUCUCCCCCAAGAGUUCACAUCGACGGGGAGGUUUGGCACCUCGAUGUCGGCUCAUCGCAUCCUGGGGCUGUAGUCGGUCCCAAGGGUUGGGCUGUUCGCCCAUUAAAGCGGUACGCGAGCUGGGUUCAGAACGUCGUGAGACAGUUCGGUCCCUAUCCGUCGUGGGCGUAGGAAAUUUGAGAGGAGCUGUCCUUAGUACGAGAGGACCGGGAUGGACAUACCUCUGGUGUACCAGUUGUCGUGCCAACGGCAUAGCUGGGUAGCUAUGUGUGGACGGGAUAAGUGCUGAAAGCAUCUAAGCAUGAAGCCCCCUCAAGAUGAGAUUUCCCAACUUCGGUUAUAAGAUCCCUCAAAGAUGAUGAGGUUAAUAGGUUCGAGGUGGAAGCAUGGUGACAUGUGGAGCUGACGAAUACUAAUCGAUCGAAGACUUAAUCAAAUU